GCGGGGCCGGAGACCCCGGACCGAGCUCCGGGAGGGGGUGGCUGAGGCGGCGGCGCCCCCACGUGGGCCGGGCGCGCGCGUGCGCGAUUGAGGAGGCGGGGGAGGCCUACGGAAACGCGGGGCGCGCUCUCGGCGGCUCACGUGACGGACACGUGACCCGCGGCGAGGCCGGCUGAGGUCGAGCGCGGUUCUCUGUGGCGUCCCGCGGGUGGCAGAGGGCGGCUCAGUUUGGCUUCCGCCCCUCCUUCUCUCUCUGGGGACUCAGAGGAAGCGUACAGGGCGGAAAGGCUUGCCCCUCCUUCUGUUUGCCCGCGGCUCCCCAGUGCGAGGACGGAGCAUACUUUCAAAGUUCCGAAGUAGUGAUUAUCUCCCCUCGCCGCCAUGUUUGUCCCAGAGCACGCCCGCGAGAUGCCAGUGGGUCGGUAUCGCGAGAUCUCCGGCCUCUCGCGGGACCUUGUUGGCAGAGCGGUUGUGCUGGAUGGCGGAGCCCCGGUUUCCGGGGCCCUGGGACCAGUAACUCUUUUCCAGAAGGCAAGUUGUCAGGGAGGGGCCGGGGCGCGUGCCCGGGCGCCGGGAGACUUUGUGCGCGCGCCUCCCUGUCGCCAGCGGCCGUGCAGCCGGGCUGUCCGGCGCCGCGCUCUUCCCGCCCCCGGGCGCCCGCCACCUGCCGAGAGCUACCCGGGCUGCUGCCCCUCGCUCGCCCGCCCGCCCGCGGCUAGCACGCCCCGCCCGCCGCCGCCCCCCUCUGCGGAGGUUCCAGACAGUUUUUGCCCAGUUACCCUUUCUCCAGACAGCUUCACUUUUCAGCCGCCUGUGGCUGCAGUAUCUUUCCCCAGUCUCCGAACAGAACGCCUAGCAUCUCUUGUGUCUGGGCGUCAUUUAACCACCCACUUGUCUGUUGAGAAGUUCCUCGACACCCUGGCUGUUGACAGUAACUUUUGGCAGUGUAUGGCAGUCCCCUCACCCCUGACAGUACCUGAGGUCAGAAUAAAAUCCCUGUUAUGUACAUCUUAUUAACUCACAUUGG
rnacentral:lncRNA from 1 species